rnacentral:rRNA from 1 species
AGUGAACGCUGGCGGUAGGCCUAACACAUGCAAGUCGAACGGCAGCACAGUAAGAGCUUGCUCUUACGGGUGGCGAGUGGCGGACGGGUGAGGAAUACAUCGGAAUCUACUUUUUCGUGGGGGAUAACGUAGGGAAACUUACGCUAAUACCGCAUACGACCUACGGGUGAAAGCAGGGGAUCUUCGGACCUUGCGCGAUUGAAUGAGCCGAUGUCGGGUUAGCUAGUUGGCGGGGUAAAGGCCCACCAAGGCGACGAUCCGUAGCUGGUCUGAGAGGAUGAUCAGCCACACUGGAACUGAGACACGGUCCAGACUCCUACGGGAGGCAGCAGUGGGGAAUAUUGGACAAUGGGCGCAAGCCUGAUCCAGCCAUACCGCGUGGGUGAAGAAGGCCUUCGGGUUGUAAAGCCCUUUUGUUGGGAAAGAAAAGCAGCAGGUUAAUACCCCGCUGUUCUGACGGUACCCAAAGAAUAGGCACCGGCUAACUUCGUG